rnacentral:rRNA from 1 species
UACGUAGGGUGCGAGCGUUGUCCGGAAUUAUUGGGCGUAAAGAGCUUGUAGGCGGUUUGUCGCGUCUGCUGUGAAAAUCCGGGGCUCAACCCCGGACUUGCAGUGGGUACGGGCAGACUAGAGUGUGGUAGGGGAGACUGGAAUUCCUGGUGUAGCGGUGGAAUGCGCCAGAUAUCAGGAGGAACACCGGUGGCGAAGGCGGGUCUCUGGGCCGUAAACUGACGCUGGAGGAGCGAA